rnacentral:rRNA from 1 species
UGGGGGAUAUUGCACAAUGGGGGAAACCCUGAUGCAGCAACGCCGCGUGAACGAAGAAGGUCUUCGGAUUGUAAAGUUCUGUUCUUGGUGAAGAUAAUGACGGUAGCCAAGGAGAAAGCUCCGGCUAACUACGUGCCAGCAGCCGCGGUAAUACGUAGGGAGCGAGCGUUGUCCGGAUUUACUGGGUGUAAAGGGUGCGCAGGCGGCUCUGCAAGUCAGGCGUGAAAGCUAGGGGCUCAACCCCUAAACUGCGCUUGAAACUGUGGAGCUUGAGUGAAGUAGAGGCAGGCGGAAUUCCCGGUG